AGUGAUGAUAGAGGUGCGGAUUUUAUCAGUAGGUCACUAGAGGAGUAUGAGCUCCGAGGAAGGUGAUUGAAAGGAAAGGCCGCCGAAGUGAAAAGGAACUCAUAUCAAUUUUCGCUGGUUUUGCGUUGAAUAAACGUAGGACUGUCAAGAUUCUUAGCAGUCUUGGAGAGCUAUCUCACGC
rnacentral:ncRNA from 2 species